UACGUAGGUGGCGAGCGUUUGUCCGGAUUUACUGGGCGUAAAGCGCGUGUAGGCGGCCGUGCAAGUCGGGUGUGAAAGCCCUCGGCUCAACCGAGGAAGUGCGCCCGAAACUGCAUGGCUUGAGUACCAGAGAGGAUGGCGGAAUUCCCCAAGUAGAGGUGAAAUUCGUAGAUAUGGGGAGGAACACCGGUGGCGAAGGCGGCCAUCUGGACGGAUACUGACGCUGAGACGCGAAAAGCGUGGAGGAGCAAACAGGU
rnacentral:rRNA from 1 species